rnacentral:rRNA from 1 species
UAGGGAAUCUUCCGCAAUGGACGCAAGUCUGACGGAGCAACGCCGCGUGAGUGAAGAAGGAUUUCGGUUCGUAAAACUCUGUUGUUAGAGAAGAACAGCGCAUAGAGUAACUGUUAUGCGUGUGACGGUAUCUAACCAGAAAGCCACGGCUAACUACGUGCCAGCAGCCGCGGUAAUACGUAGGUGGCAAGCGUUGUCCGGAUUUAUUGGGCGUAAAGCGAGCGCAGGCGGUCAAUUAAGUCUGAUGUGAAAGCCCCCGGCUCAACCGGGGAGGGUCAUUGGAAACUGGUUGACUUGAGUGCAGAAGAGGAGAGUGGAAUUCCAUGUGUAGCGGUGAAAUGCGUAGAUAUAUGGAGGAACACCAGUGGCGAAGGCGACUCUCUGGUCUGUAACUGACGAUGAGGUUCGAAAGCGUGGGUAGCAAACAGG